CUGAGGGGAGGGGAUGAGUGUGAGGGAGGCCGCGGCGGCCCUCAGCUCCUUCCCUUUCCCCAGGGCCCGGCAGAGCUCGCUGGCCACAGGCAGGAUACAAGGAAAUGUUGCGCCUGAGAGAACAAAUUUACAAUCUCUGUGGCGUUAAACGUUUUAAAUGAUUGUGGUUAAACUUCUGCAGACCGUAGCCGUGGUCACCGCGCCGGUGCUUCCCGCCAUCGAAACGUGGAGAACUAAUGGUACCUGGAUGCUGGCAACACUGAGCUGCUUGAAAAACAAAGCAGACUGGAAAUUCCCUGCUCCUGAAGUACCCAAGUUUUCAGGUACUUCCUAUGUGAAUCUAUUUGUGCACCAAAGACACUUCCUGACAUAUGAAGUUUUUCUACACCAGACUAGUGGAGACACUUUUGCUCUAGUUUGCAUCUCAGUGGAAAAAUUUAUUUGCACCACUUUGGUUUUGAAAAUUAUGGGUAAGUUUUGUAGUUUGUUAAUCCAUGAGCGCUCACAGCAGCCAUUGUCUAAGUCUAGGCCAUUGAACAAACUCUUCUCCCUGCCUGGUAUUUUAAUGAAAGUCGUGGUUGCUCAACUUCCUGCAAGAGUUCUGUCGAACUUGAACUCAGACUUGUUUCCAUGCUUGUGAGAUGACACGAUGCUGUCACAGGUGAUGACCAGCUCAAAAAAUAUUUGGUGAUUGAAACCGAACCCUGAGACUGCACAUACCUUCUCUGUGCUGGGCUAUUCUUAAGUAAUGCUGUAAUGUUUAUUUUUAAUUUGGUGACUUUCAGUCUGAUCCACAGGAACCAGGGAAGAUGCUCUUCCCCUUUCGAGAAUUGGGAAUGGAUCUGAGUCAAGGGAAGGAACCCAAAGCACACAGAAACUUUAGCCAGGCAAGGCUGUACAAGUUGAGAAGGGAAGGGAGUAAACUGUUCCCCUUGAGAACUGGGGAAUUUGGUGCCUGAAAUGACAGAAUCACAGCAUGUGCUGAGUUGGAAGGGACCCACAGGGAUCACAGAUCCAGCUCCCAGCCCUGCACAGGACCAGCACCAAGAAUCAUAUCCUGUGCCUGAGAGUGAUGAGCAUCUUGUGGCCUUUGGGUGCUUUAACUCCUCUGGAGACAGCCACAUGAGGAAGUCAGGAAAGAAGAAAAAAAAAGCUGACCUUAUAGUAAGUUAUUACUGUUUAUGCCAGUGUCUGGAUUUCAAGCCACCCUGGAGCCAAAAGGCUGAGAGCAUGCUCUGCUACACUCUGAACUACCACUCAGGAAGGAGCUCUUGGAACCAUUUGGGGAGAGUUCUGGGACUCUUCAGGAGCUGUC